rnacentral:lncRNA from 1 species
UAUCCAAAUUCACCGUGGACCUAUAUUGGUCACUUCCUUGCGCAUCUCCUGAACCUAUCCUUCCUUUCUCUUUCGCACUAGAGCCCCGGAUUUCAUUGUCUUCCUCUCCGCCGGCGACAGAGCGCCGCCGUGGGAGCUUCGUCGUGGCCAGGCCACUCCGUAAGGUUUUGGGUCGAGGUGAGAGACGUUGGAGUUUCGCCUUGCUGUCCUGCAACUCAUGCUCUCUCUCUUUUUCCUUGGACGCG